UACGAAGGGGACUAGCGUUGUUCGGAAUCACUGGGCGUAAAGCGCACGUAGGCGGAUUUAUAAGUCAGGGGUGAAAUCCCGGGGCUCAACCUCGGAACUGCCUUUGAUACUGUGAAUCUUGAGUCCGAUAGAGGUGGGUGGAAUUCCUAGUGUAGAGGUGAAAUUCGUAGAUAUUAGGAAGAACACCGGUGGCGAAGGCGGCCCACUGGGCCAUUACUGACACUGAGGUGCGAAAGCGUGGGUAGCAAACAGG
rnacentral:rRNA from 1 species